GGGGAAUAUUGGGCAAUGGGCGAAAGCCUGACCCAGCAACGCCGCGUGAGGGAAGAAGGUUUUCGGAUUGUAAACCUCUGUCGCAGAAGACGAAGGAAGUGACGGUAUUCUGUGAGGAAGCCCCGGCUAACUACGUGCCAGCAGCCGCGGUAAUACGUAGGGGGCGAGCGUUGUCCGGAAUUACUGGGCGUAAAGGGUGCGUAGGCGGUUAAUUAAGUUGGAUGUGAAAUUCCCGGGCUUAACUUGGGAGCUGCAUUCAAAACUGGUUAACUAGAGUUCAGGAGAGGGAAGCGGAAUUCCUAGUGUAGCGGUGAAAUGCGUAGAUAUUAGGAGGAACACCGGUGGCGAAGGCGGCUUUCUGGACUGACACUGACGCUGAGGCACGAAAGCGUGGGGAGCAAACAGGAUUAGAUACCCUGGUAGU
rnacentral:rRNA from 1 species